GCGCAUGUAGUACAGUGGUAAAGACUGCAGUAGUGUGUAUGAUUUCUAAUUGUAUAUGUCGAGCAGUCCGAAGGUUCAAAUCCUUCCAUGCGCA
rnacentral:tRNA from 1 species